rnacentral:rRNA from 1 species
UACGUAGGGUGCGAGCGUUAAUCGGAAUUACUGGGCGUAAAGCGUGCGCAGGCGGUUUUGUAAGCCAGAUGUGAAAGCCCCGGGCUUAACCUGGGAAUGGCAUUUGGGACUGCAAGGCUUGAGUGCGGCAGAGGGGGGUGGAAUUCCUGGUGUAGCAGUGAAAUGCGUAGAUAUCAGGAGGAACAUCGAUGGCGAAGGCAGCCCCCUGGGCCUGUACUGACGCUCAUGCACGAAAGCGUGGGGAGCAAACAGG